UGCCCAGCUGUGCCCUGCUUUGCUACUGCUCCUCCUCCUGCUUACAAGCACUUGUAAGCCUGGAUGCCUCUUUGGAAGAUGCAGCUGAAAAUUGUUGGCUGUCCUAAUUGAGGGGGUCUCCUCCAGCACUGACUUCAGAAACUACAUUGGCUUCUCUGACUGUGACAGAGCUCUGUGUGUGUAUACAGGUGACAACCCACAAACUGUCAUUACAACUUUAUUCAAUCAAUUCUUGUGUCUCUCCAAUGAAUAAAACUAUGCCUUUCAGGAAUGAGGAAACUGAGGAAGAGGUGCUAAACGUGUUUGCACGGCUCACAGAGAUUUGGUCACAGCAGAAAUUGUUGGAUUCAGGAGGCUACUCCACCCCCAUCUGCACCCACAUCACAAGCCCACACCUUCCCCUUCUGGUGUUACUGGAAUACAAAUGCUUCUUUCUCUUAUGUGCUUGCCAAGACCUGGGGCAGAACCAUCAUAUUCCCUGUAUGCCAGUGGAUGUGGUCAUUCCACAAGGAGCUUAUUCACAGAAUCACAUGUUUGGAAGAGACCGUCAAGAUCAUCAUUGAGUCCAACCCGUGACCUAACACCUCAACUAGACCAUGGCACCAAGUGCAACAUCCAGUCUUCCUAAACACAUCCAGGGAUGGUGAUGACACCACCUCCCUGGGGAGGCCAUUCCAAUACUUUAUCAGUCUUUCUGUAAAAAACUUCUUCCUAAUAUCCAAUUUGUAUUUCCCUUGGCACAGUUUAAAACUGUGCCCUCUGGUUCUAUCAGUUGCUGCCUGGAUAAAGAGACCAACAAUCACCUUUCAGGGAGUUAUAGAGAGUGAUAAGGUCACCUCUGAGUCUCCUUU